CUGCUGAGAUGAGUCCCCAGCCCCAGCCCUGCUGGCCAACAAAGAGUCAACGAGGACAAGGGCUCUCACUGAGCCUGAAGCUCACUGAUUAACUCAGGGAUCUGUUUGCCUCCCUCCUCCACUAAAGUCACUGCUGCUCCUGGCUCUUACGUGGUGCCAGAGAUCCAAACUCAGGCCUUCAUGGUUACACAGCAAACCUGUUACCAACGGAGCC